GCGGCCGCUCAGACACCGGAGCCGGCAGCCUGGGGAGGCGCGCCGGGGGCGGGGGGCGGGGGAGGGGCGGGGCGCCUGAGAUGGGACGUGUGGUCCGUGGCUAAAGGCUGGGACGGAAAGGCGCAUGAGCCACCGCCGCGUCAGGCUCGGCUAUGGGUGGGGGGAGCGUGAUCGCGGACCCGGGGUGUGGGGCGACUGGAAAAACGGGCCUCUGGACCAGCACACGCCCUGUGCGGAGAGACACUGUCUGGCAUCUCGGGAUCAUGUGAGGGGCUCCCACUGCCCAGUCACACGUCUAAAGCAUCCUAGUUCUUACCUAUUGUAGCACGGCCGGAAAGUGAGCCGCCUUAGCUGCUGAUUGUACUAGAGCAGGCAAUACAAGAGUCGGCCCAUCCUCAAAACCACUGAUAGGAUGUGAGUUUCACUAACCCCGUUUUACAGAUGAGGAAAUUGAGGCAAGGCCAGGGCUCACACCUGUAAUCCCAGCACUUUGGGAGUCCAAGGUUGGAGGGUUGCUUGAGACCAGGAGUUCAUGACCAGCCUGGGCGACAUAGUGAGACCCCCAUCUUCCCAAAUAAAAAUAAAUAAAUCAGCCGGACAUGGUGGCAUGUGCCUGUAGUCCCUGCUGCUCAGAAGGCUAAGGUGGAAGGAUAGCUUGAGCCCAGGAGUUCGAGGCUGCAGUGAGCUAUGAUCAUACCACUGUACUCCAGCCUAGGUGACAGAGGGAGACCCUGUCUCAAAAAGAAAAGAGACUUACACGAGGUCACAUAGCUAAUAAGUGGCAGAUAGGGAAGAGAACCCUUGUCCCUCUACUUUAAGGCCCUAUUCGCUUGCCCCAUUAUCCCAUGCUGCCUCUCUAAGAGCCAGAGAAGUAGGAGGUAGAAAAAGAGCAUCUCUGCAGCUCUGGGACUGAUGAUGUGAAUGAACUGGGUAGAUGGUAAGUGUGUAACUGGGUGAUCUUGGACAUGGGAUGGGGUGGGUGAGGAGGCUUACCAAUGCUGAGAGGAGUGGAAGCUCCAACCCCAGCUAAUGCUAGACACCAGACUCCAAAUUUAAACACACAGUGGAAACUGGCAAGAAUGAAAUACUGACUUCAAUACAGAUUUCAAGAGACAUGACAUUAGCACUGGUGGAGAAUGGCAAGCCUAAGGUUGGAAAAGGUUCAGGGAAGGAAGAUGAAGGUCUGCCAUGUUCUACUGAGGAGGAGUUUUUCAAACAGUGGGGUGCUGUCUGCAAUGUGUACAGCCUUAAAAUUAUUAUAUAAGUAAUCAAUACUCAUUGUUGAAAAAUAAUAUAUGGAUAAACAGGAAAAAUAAACAAAAAUCAUAAUCCA
ensembl:lncRNA HK2-DT HK2 divergent transcript